GGACAGUUAGCUCAGCCGGGAGAGCGCUUCCCCGACACGGAAGAGGUCGCUGGUUCGAUCCCAGUACUGUCCA
rnacentral:tRNA from 1 species